rnacentral:rRNA from 1 species
UACGUAGGGGGCAAGCGUUGUCCGGAUUUAUUGGGCGUAAAGAGCUCGUAGGCGGUUCCGUAAGUCGAGUGUGAAAAAUCUGGGCUCAACCCAGUGGAGCACUCGAUACUGCGGUGACUGGAGUACGGUAGAGGAGUGUGGAAUUCCUGGUGUAGCGGUGAAAUGCGCAGAUAUCGGGAAGAACACCCGUGGCGAAGGCGGCUCUCUGGGACGGUACUGACGCUGAGACGCGAAAGCGUGGGGAGCGAACAGG